rnacentral:rRNA from 1 species
AUUGAACGCUGGCGGCAGGCCUAACACAUGCAAGUCGAACGAGUGGCGGACGGGUGAGUAAUGUCUGUGAAACUGCCCGUUGGAGGGGGAUAACUACAGGAAACGGUAGCUAAUACCGCAUCCCAUCGGAUGUGCCCAGAUGGGAUUAGCUGGUAGGUGGGGUAACGGCGCACCUAGGGGACGAUCCCUAGCUGGGUUGAGAGGAUGACCAGCAAAACUGGAACUGAGAAACGGUCCAGACUCCUACGGGAGGCAGCAGUGGGGAAUAGUGCACAAUGGGCGCAAGCCUGAUGCAGCCAUGCCGCGUGUAUGAAGAAGGCCUUCGGGUUGUAAAGUACUUUCAGCGAGGAGGCGUUACUCGCAGAAGAAGCACCGGCUAACUCCGUGCCAGCAGCCGCGGUAAUUC